rnacentral:rRNA from 1 species
GUUUGAUCCUGGCUCAGAAUCAACGCUGGCGGCGCGCUUAACACAUGCAAGUCGCACGAGAAAGCAGGAGCAAUCUUGUGAGUAAAGUGGCGUACGGGUGAGUAACACGUGGAUCAUCUACCUUUUAGUGGGGAAUACCCCUGGGAAACCGGGGACAAUACCGCAUAAGCUCGUAAGAGGAAAGCAGCAAUGCGCUGAAAGAGGAGUCCGCGGCUGAUUAGCUAGUUGGCGGGGUAACGGCCCACCAAGGCGAAGAUCGGUAGCCGGCCUGAGAGGGCACACGGCCACACUGGCACUGAAACACGGGCCAGACUCCUACGGGAGGCAGCAGUGGGGAAUCUUGCACAAUGGAGGAAACUCUGAUGCAGCGACGCCGCGUGAGCGAUGAAGCCCUUCGGGGUGUAAAGCUCUUUCGACGGGAACGAUAAUGACGGUACCCGAAGAAGAAGCUGCGGCUAACUACGUGCCAGCAGCCGCGGUAAUACGUAGGCAGCGAGCGUUGUUCGGAAUUACUGGGCGUAAAGAGUGCGUAGGCGGUGCUCUAAGUCUGUUGUGAAAUCUCCCGGCUUAACUGGGAGGGUGCGGCGGAAACUAGAGUGCUAGAGUGUGGGAGAGGUAAGCGGAAUUCCUGGUGUAGCGGUGAAAUGCGUAGAUAUCAGGAGGAACACCUGUGGUGUAGACAGCUUACUGGACCACGACUGACGCUGAGGCACGAAAGCGUGGGUAGCAAACAGGAUUAGAUACCCUGGUAGUCCACGCCCUAAACGAUGCAUACUUGGUGUGAGCGAUUCAUUUCGUUCGUGCCGGAGCUAACGCGUUAAGUAUGCCGCCUGGGGAGUACGGUCGCAAGGCUGAAACUCAAGGGAAUUGACGGGGGCCCGCACAAGCGGUGGAGCAUGUGGUUCAAUUCGACGCACGCGAAGAACCUUACCUGGGCUCGAACGGCUUAAGACCAUCCUUGGAAACAGGACUCCCGCAAGGGACUUGAGUCGAGGUGCUGCAUGGCUGUCGUCAGCUCGUGUCGUGAGAUGUUGGGUUAAGUCCCGCAACGAGCGCAACCCUGGUCCU